rnacentral:rRNA from 1 species
CUCUGUGACUCCUACGGGAGGCAGCAGUGGGGAAUAUUGCACAAUGGGCGCAAGCCUGAUGCAGCCAUGCCGCGUGUGUGAAGAAGGCCUUCGGGUUGUAAAGCACUUUCAGUUGUGAGGAAGGUGGUGUCGUUAAUAGCGGCAUCAUUUGACGUUAGCAACAGAAGAAGCACCGGCUAACUCCGUGCCAGCAGCCGCGGUAAUACGGAGGGUGCGAGCGUUAAUCGGAAUUACUGGGCGUAAAGCGCAUGCAGGUGGUUUGUUAAGUCAGAUGUGAAAGCCCGGGGCUCAACCUCGGAACUGCAUUUGAAACUGGCAGACUAGAGUACUGUAGAGGGGGGUAGAAUUUCAGGUGUAGCGGUGAAAUGCGUAGAGAUCUGAAGGAAUACCGGUGGCGAAGGCGGCCCCCCUGGACAGAUACUGACACUCAGAUGCGAAAGCGUGGGGAGCAAACAGGAUUAGAUACCCUGGUAG